rnacentral:rRNA from 1 species
CGAACGCUGGCGGCGCGCUUAACACAUGCAAGUCGAACGAUCGAGUACCGGAGCUUGCUCUGGUAUAAGAUAGUGGCGAACGGGUGAGUAACACGUGAGCAACCUGCCCUAUAGAGGGGGAUAACAUCUGGAAACGGAUGAUAAUACCGCAUAAGAUAGUAGUAUCGCAUGGUACAGCUAUCAAAGAUUUAUUGCUAUAGGAUGGGCUCGCGCCCGAUUAGGUAGUUGGUAGGGUAAUGGCCUACCAAGCCUGCGAUCGGUAGCCGGACUGAGAGGUUGAACGGCCACAUUGGGACUGAGACACGGCCCAGACUCCUACGGGAGGCAGCAGUGGGGAAUAUUGCACAAUGGAGGAAACUCUGAUGCAGCGACGCCGCGUGAGGGAAGAAGGUUUUCGGAUUGUAAACCUCUGUCUUCGGGGACGAUAAUGACGGUACCCGAGGAGGAAGCCACGGCUAACUAC